UUUCCGUAGGUGAACCUGCGGAAGGAUCAUUAAAAGACUUAGCGUAUUCUUCUGAAUAUACUUCAUUAACCCAUUCCGAGUACCUUACCCGGUGCUUCCGCGAGGCUGUCCUCACGGCCCUUUUAAGAUUUAUCUUUGGAGAGUCCUUGCGGGAGGUAUACAAUAAACUCUUGCAUUACCAUGUCAUAUGUCUGAAGCUGUUUAAAACAAAUAUGAAAACUUUCAACAACGGAUCUCUUGGUUCUC
rnacentral:misc_RNA from 1 species